rnacentral:rRNA from 1 species
UUUAACGGGGCUAAAUCGUACACCGAAGCUUGGGAAUAUCAGUUAUUCUUCAUGGACUUGCUAAGGUAAGACACCAUGGCACGGAGUGCCAUCAAAUUGUCCAGAAGGAUAAAGCGAGCUUGUGAAGAAUAACUGAUGUUGGUAGGAGAGCGUUGAAUGCGGGGUGAAGUCAGAGCGAAAGCGCUGGUGGACUGCAUUGAAGUGAGAAUGCCGGAAUGAGUAGCGAGAUUUAUGUGAGAAUCAUAAAGGCCGAAAGACUAAGGUUUCAGAAGGAAGGUUCGUCCGCUUCUGGUUAGCCGGGAGCUAAGGUGAGGCCGAAAGGCGUAGCCGAUGCACAUACGGUGGAGAUUCCGUAGCCGUCGAAAUAUUUAAGCAAAGGGACACUUAUGAAGGACAUGACCCGGGCGAUGGUAGCCCCGGGCGUAAGGGACUGAAAACAAGUAAGGAAGCAUGUUUGGAUUAAGGCGAGAAAAGCUUUGUGUAUAUAUGAGACGUCCGUACCGCAAACCGACACAGGUAGUCAGGAAGAGGAUUCUAAGGCCAACGGGAGAAGGGUAGUUAAGGAACUCGGCAAAUUGACCCCGUAACUUCGGGAUAAGGGGCGGUGCGUAAGCACCCGCAGUGAAUAGGUCCAGGCGACUGUUUAUCAAAAACACAGCUCUCUGCUAAAUCGAAAGAUGACGUAUAGGGGGUGACACCUGCCCGGUGCUGGAAGGUUAAGAGGAGGAGUGCAAGCUCCGAAUUGAAGCCCCAGUAAACGGCGGCCGUAACUAUAACGGUCCUAAGGGAGCGAAAUUCCUUGUCGGGUAAGUUCCGACCCGCACGAAUGGUGUAACGAUCUGGACGCUGUCUCAACUGCCCACCCGGCGAAAUUGUAGUACCGGUGAAGAUGCCGGUUACCCGCGGCAAGACGGAAAGACCCCAUGGAGCUUUACUGUAACUUGAUAUUGGGUCUUGGUAUUCUAUGUACAGGAUAGGCGGGAGACUAUGAAACAUACACGCCAGUGUAUGCGGAGUCACCCUUGGGAUACCGCUCUUAGAGUACUGAGAUUCUAACCUGCGGCCGUGAAUCCGGUCGGGGGAC